GACGAACGCUGGCGGCGUGCUUAACACAUGCAAGUCGAACGAAGUGGCGCACGGGUGAGUAACGCGUAAUCAACCUGCACUUCAGAGGGGGACCACAGUUGGAAACGACUGCUAAUACCGCAUACUGAAGGAGGGGAUUGCGUCUGAUUAGCUGGUUGGAGGGGUAACGGCCCACCAAGGCGAUGAUCAGUAGCCGGUCUGAGAGGAUGAGCGGCCACAUUGGGACUGAGACACGGCCCAGACUCCCACGGGAGGCCGCAGUGGGGAAUCUUCCGCAAGGGUCGAAAGUCUGACGGAGCAACGCCGCGUGAGUGAUGACGGCCUUCGGGUUGUAAAGCUCUGUUAAUCGGGACGCGGUACCGGAAUAGAAAGCCACGGCUAACUACGUGCCAGCCGCCGCGGUAAUAC
rnacentral:rRNA from 1 species